rnacentral:ribozyme from 1 species
UGCCCAGCAACUCCUAUCCCUACCUCCUCGCGGUACUGGCCAAGGUACGAGUAACCUUAGGGAUCAUGCACAAAUUACGUCACGCUUCAAGGGGGGGGG